rnacentral:rRNA from 1 species
CAGUCGCCACGGGAAUACGAAGGGGGCUAGCGUUGCUCGGAAUGACUGGGCGUAAAGGGCGCGUAGGCGGCGAUCAAAGUCAGGCGUGAAAUUCCUGGGCUCAACCUGGGGGCUGCGUUUGAUACUUGAUUGCUAGAGUGGGGAAGAGGGUCGUGGAAUUCCCAGUGUAGAGGUGAAAUUCGUAGAUAUUGGGAAGAACACCGGUGGCGAAGGCGGCGACCUGGUCCUUGACUGACGCUGAGGCGCGAAAGCGUGGGGAGCAAACAGGAUUAGAUACCCCCGUAGUCCCUGUCUCUUAUAC